GACGAACGCUGGCGGCGUGCCUAACACAUGCAAGUCGAGCGAUUUACUUCGGUAAAGAGCGGCGGACGGGUGAGUAACGCGUGGGUAACCUGCCCUGUACACACGGAUAACAUACCGAAAGGUAUGCUAAUACGAGAUAACAUGCUUUUAUCGCAUGGUAGAAGUAUCAAAGCUCUGGCGGUACAGGAUGGACCCGCGUCUGAUUAGCUAGUUGGUAAGGUAACGGCUUACCAAGGCGACGAUCAGUAGCCGACCUGAGAGGGUGAUCGGCCACAUUGGAACUGAGACACGGUCCAAACUCCUACGGGAGGCAGCAGUGGGGAAUAUUGCACAAUGGGUGAAAGCCUGAUGCAGCAACGCCGCGUGAGCGAUGAAGGCCUUCGGGUCGUAAAGCUCUGUCCUCAAGGAAGAUAAUGACGGUACUUGAGGAGGAAGCCCCGGCUAACUACGUGCCAGCAGCCGCCGUAA
rnacentral:rRNA from 1 species